rnacentral:pre_miRNA from 1 species
CACCCAUAUGGAUGCGUCGGUUAUGGGCAAUGUGUCCUGUUCAGACCGCACGGAUCUGGCAGGCACGUUGUUCAAUACAGACAAUCCACUGCUCUUCCU